rnacentral:rRNA from 1 species
AAUCUUGCGCAAUGGGCGAAAGCCUGACGCAGCCAUGCCGCGUGAAUGAUGAAGGUCUUAGGAUUGUAAAAUUCUUUCACCGGGGAAGAUAAUGACGGUACCCGGAGAAGAAGCCCCGGCUAACUUCGUGCCAGCAGCCGCGGUAAUACGAAGGGGGCUAGCGUUGUUCGGAAUUACUGGGCGUAAAGCGCACGUAGGCGGGUCUGUAAGUAGGGGGUGAAAUCCCAGGGCUCAACCCUGGAACUGCCUUCUAGACUGCAGGCCUGGAGGUCAGGAGAGGCGAGUGGAAUACCGAGUGUAGAGGUGAAAUUCGUAGAUAUUCGGUGGAACACCAGUGGCGAAGGCGACUCGCUGGACUGAUACUGACGCUGAGGUGCGAAAGCGUGGGGAGCAAAC